UACGUAGGUGGCAAGCGUUUUCCGGCUUUACUGGGCGUAAAGAGCGCGCAGGCGGCCAGGUCAGUCGAAUGUGAAAGCCCCCGGCUCAACUGGGGAGGGUCAUUCGAUACUGCCUGGCUUGAAGAUAGGAGAGGGAAGCGGAAUUUCAGGUGUAGUGGUGAAAUGCGUAGAUAUCUGAAGGAACACCAGUGGCGAAGGCGGCUUUCUGGCCUAUUCUUGACGCUGAGGCGCGAAAGCUAGGGGAGCGAACGGG
rnacentral:rRNA from 1 species